AGCUGGCGGCGUGCUUAAACAUGCAAGUCGAGUGCGCGUCCGUAGCAAUACGGAUGGCGCACGGCGCACGGGUGCGUAACACGUGGGUAAUCUGCCCUCUGAUGGGGAAUAACUCGCCGAAAGGCGAGCUAAUACCGCAUAACAUUCCUUGGACUCCGGUUCGAGGAUUCAAAGGCGUAAGUCGUCGGAGGUGGAGCCCGCGCACGAUUAGCUAGUUGGUAGGGUAAUGGCCUACCAAGGCUUUGAUCGUUAGCUGGUCUGAGAGGAUGGCCAGCCACACUGGAACUGAGACACGGUCCAGACUCCUACGGGAGACAGCAGUGGGGAAUCUUGCACAAUGGGCGAAAGCCUGAUGCAGCGACGCCGCGUGGGGGAUGAAGCUUCUCGGAGUGUAAACCCCUUUCGACCGGGACGAAUACCUCGCAAGAGGGGUGACGGUACCGGUAUAAGAAGCCCCGGCUAACUACGUGCCAGCAGCCGCGGUAAGACGUAGGGGGCCAGCGUUGCUCGGAAUUACUGGGUGUAAAGGGUUCGUANGCGGUGUGGCAAGUCGGGAGUGAAAUCUCUGAGCUUAACUCAGGGGCUGCUUCCGAAACUGCUGUGCU
rnacentral:rRNA from 1 species